rnacentral:rRNA from 1 species
CCCAUCACGUUGGGGAAUAACCUUGUAGAAAGUAAGACUAAUACCCAAUGACGUCUCUAGAAGACAUCUGAAAGAGAUUAAAGAUUUAUCGGUGAUGGAUGGGGAUGCGUCUGAUUAGCUUGUUGGCGGGGUAACGGCCCACCAAGGCGACGAUCAGUAGGGGUUCUGAGAGGAAGGUCCCCCACAUUGGAACUGAGACACGGUCCAAACUCCUACGGGAGGCAGCAGUGAGGAAUAUUGGUCAAUGGACGAGAGUCUGAACCAGCCAAGUAGCGUGAAGGAUGAAGGUCCUACGGAUUGUAAACUUCUUUUAUAAGGGAAUAAACCCUCCCACGUGUGGGAGCUUGUAUGUACCUUAUGAAUAAGCAUCGGCUAACUCCGUG